rnacentral:lncRNA from 1 species
AACUCAUCAGUUCCUAAGUAGGACAAACAUGGUAGAUAAACAUACCUGGUACCAAAAGAUCAUAUAAAAACUUUCAGCAAUUGAAGUUUGGGUGGAGGAAGUUGGGGGGUAGAGGGCAGGAAACGGUCUUAAUAUUAGUGUCCCCAUUAGAAGAAAGCUACCCCUAAUUUAGACAAUUGAUUCUCAGUUUGUAGUUUUUAUCAUAUAAAAAUUAAAAUAAAUUUUAUAGAAAUAUUUGAUGUUUUUCCACAAUGAAUGUCUCAAUGGUCCAUUUUUGUUCCCUUUUCUAUAUUGAGGUACUAUUAAGCUGAACCUGCUUUGAAGUGUUCCUCAGAGAUGAUCAAUGAGAAAAUAUCCCCUGUUGUGUGAAGUCAAUCCUUUGACAGUUCUUGUUCACAUACUUUUAAUGUUAAAUAGUGUAUGCCAAAUUUAUUCAAAUAUACGUAUCACUAUCCUUAUUUUCCUAUUUUAGUUUCAGCUUUUUUUUAACUAAAAAUAGUGCAUUUCAAGGUUUUCUACUUAAUUAUGUGCUUUUUAAAGAUGAUAAAAUAUAAUGUGCUUGAAAUUAUGCUAUUUCCAUGAAUAGAGAACCUUUCUAAGGGUAGCUAAAACAUCAAGCAAUUGAAAUAAUGCCAUCCCUCCACAUCAUUCGAUGUCCUGUUAAAAGAACCUGGAAGCACAAUCAAAGGAAUCUUAUUAUUAGAAAUCAGAAAAAAACAUGGUCCUAGAACCUUAGAUCAGUCAUGCGUCACCCAAUAACAAAGUCAAGGAAGGCAUUACACAUUGUCUACUGCAGGCUGAGCAAUCAGGGAAGCAGACCCUACACUGAAUAUUAGUCUGGAGAAUGAUUAUUAGGGAGACUUUCUCAGAUUAGCACCUGCAGAGAGAAAGGGAUACAAAGGAAACAGAUUUUGGCAGAGAAAGAUGUUGCUCUUGGAUGCGGUCAUAAGGAAAGCCUUAAGCAACCAUGUGGGGGGCUUUGCACUGAGCAUGGCCCUGGAGAGCUUUUAAGAAUUUGAGUGAGGAAGCUGAGACUUUAUGUCUCCAUGUCAAGGGGGGCAUGACUGUGGGCAAGAUAAUUCCUCUCAACUGAGGCAAUUCUACAGAAGGCUGAUGACUGUGAGCUGGAUGUUGGAGGCACACCCAACAGCUCUAGGAGAAUAUCCUUUAUUCCUGAAGGAGAUCCUGGGCGGCAUAUCAUAGCAUCUACUACUAUACUAUUUUUUCCCUUACAUUUUUGCUAAAGCCACUUUUUAAUAAACAUAUUUAUGUAAACCCUUAAAAACCAUCAUUAAUAUCUCUAUGAAAGAAAUGAUAAAAUAAGCUGUUUGCAAAACAAAGCCACAAGCAUAGAAUUACAUUUUUUGAAGGCUUCAAUGACUAUAGGUAAUUGCCCAGCCAAAAUAUUUAACAGAUGGAGAGACUGAGGUAUUAGAAAAAGGGUUUUGUCCUGAGUCACAGUGUUGGUUAGUAGAGACUCAGAUCUCUCUGCUCCACCAUUCUUUACCCUAUACUAUCCUAUACCUAGUGUUUCCCAUUUGCUCUAUAAUGAAUCUGUUUCCUAGUAAUCCUAAAUUUAAAUGAUCUAUACAAGUUGGGGGAAAAUAAACAUAUAUACAAAAACCUCAAAUGUUUGAAAGAUAGGAUGCUAUAUUUUUAUGAAUUCCCAACCUUUCUAAGACUAUAUCCAUGCCUUCCAUCAUCUUCCUUAAUAAAGAGGGAUAUGUGAUAUUAGGGAAAUUAGAAUUUACCUCUUUUGGUUUCCCUGAGGUGUCAGAGCAGGAAAAGUGCUAGAACCACAUUUCUUAGUUCUUGUACAUUGUACCAAUCUAAGGAAAUGCACUGUGAGGCCAUGCUAGAGCCACAUUUAACUGGAUUAUUAGAUAUGGAAGAAAACAGUAAGGUUGACCACACAAUAUUCCCUGUGGAUUUAAGCCCCCUAGAAGUUCUACCACAGGAGUUGUUUCUGGGUAUUGCAUAAAUGAAUUACCCAGGACAUCUAAGGAUCUUUGCCAAAGAAUACAUUGUAGCGCACCUCAUCUUAGCCUAAGUAAUCAAUUUAGUUCUACUUUUAUAUCUGGUUUCAGUCUCUGAAAUCAAAACACUCAAGAAAAGAAAUGGAGGUCUAAUAAUUACGGCUAGUCUAACCUUACCAAAAAGAAACCAAAAAUUGAAAACAAUUUCAGAUCCCCCUGAAAUUAUGGAAUUUGAUCGAAAGUAUUUUCACCAUUGGCUGCUAACAAAGUUUCAGGAUGAACCAGUUGGGAGAUGGUAGGAUGUUCAUGGAUUGUGUCCCAUCCACUAUAUUGAACUCACCAGCCCAUGUAUCCACUCAAUCAAAUAACAAUGCGUGCUGAUAACCAAAGGUCAGGAUACUGUUGCCUGUGCUGGAACAUAGAAUACCUCCUAUGCAGACAAGUACAGGUACUGUCAGUGACGAUGCUGUUGCCUCUAAUGGUGUCCACCACAGGUGAUACUGACUAGCCGAAGGUGGAGCCAGAACCCAUUCAUACCAGAGAGCCUGACCAGUUACAACCUACAGAGCAGCUGGGAGAGAGAAGGAAAGUGUGAGUCUCUAAUUUCUGUUUUUCCUUUAGAAAGUUAAGUACCACAGGCCUAUGAAAAUGUUUAGCCUUUUAAAAAUUUGUUAUGCAUGUAUUCUGAAUCAUUUUGACUACGAAAACUUAAAUGUGGUAUGAAAAAUGUGAGGUAAUGGUGCUCGCCCAGUCAAAAAUCAUUUAGGAAGGAGGUCCAUGUUAAUUCUAAGGCAGGGGUCAGUGUACCUAAAUAGCUAAGUCCAUCAGAUUUUUCAUGUGGAAUGGUGAGGUAAUUUUUAUGUUGCCAUCCAAGGUCAAAGACCAAGAAGCAAGAUAUCCAAGCAGUGUGCUGAGGCUGGAAGACUGCUUACACUGAAAUCGCUUCCAUUUUAGCUCCACAAAUCCAGUCCCUUCUGCUAAUUAAUUACAAGGUCUUCCUUGGCAGGUGACACACUCACCAUUAUUUAGCACACUGCAUGAAUUCUAUUGCCGUUUGGUGAGGCAUCUCUCUGUGAGAGAGCAGUUAAAGUAAAUGCAUCUAUUUCUGAUACCGCUUCCACCAGAGACCCUUUCCACAAACUAGACUCAAGUGGGCCCCAUCACAUCCAUUCAGCAGAUAUUCUGCUAAUUAAAUCUUCGAAUGAGGUUGAAGAAAGCGAAUAUCAAGACUGAUCCUUAAUAUCCCCCAGCCAUCUCUCUGGCAGCUACAUGAGGAGGAAGUUUAGUCAAUUUAUACUUACAGUACUUAAAUUCAACCUGUUGAGAUAAUUGACUCAUGAGUGGAAGGAGACAGCAUUUUACUACUGACAUCUUGAUUCCCGUGAAGCCUAAGAUUUGGGCUAAAUCCUAAUAUUCCAUCCCUGAUUUGAGGCAGCUGGUUGUUGAGAAAAUACAACUAGAAUAUUAGAAUUCUGACUUCCAUGCAAUAGUGUAUCAGAAAAUUCAUGUCUACUUCAGUGCUUCAUAAAGUGAAAAUGUAAAUAUUAGGAUGCUUUUCAUAUUGUGAAAAAAGCACAAUACCAUCUAGAUUUUAUUCCCAAGUCUGUCCCCAAACUCUUCUAUGACCUGGGAAACUCAGUUUUUAGUCUGAAAGAUGAAAAAGAAGGGUCAUAUGAUAACUGGGACUCCCGACAUCUAACUAGUUCAACCAUUCUACAGAAAUGAGGCAAGAGUGAAGUUUUGUUCCAGAGCUCUCCUAAAAAAGGUCAUUAUGGACUCACAAAAACAAGUAUCUUUACACAUAUCAAGUAAUGCAAAGCAAAUUGUGUCUCCUUUGCAUCGGAGAUAAAUUAUAAGAUUAUAAUAUAUACUUUAAAUACAUUUCCUACUCAAAUUUAUCAUGGGAUGCCUCCUUCUGUUAUACUGAAGAUUAUUCACACACAAGAUUUACUGAUCUGUAGGAUCUGAAAGAAAAACCCUUUAGUUUAUCCUGUCAUUUUAAGUUUUGAAGUGGAAGCAAGAAGGGGAGGCCACAAAAAAUUUAGUUCUAAUUCUCUUCAUCCUUCUAUUUUUCUUCUUUACUUUCUUCUUCUUGCCUUAUCACUGAUAGAAGAGAUAAACAGUGUCAACUGAGUUGGUGGGAUGAACAAUGGAGAGAGAAAAGGAGGCAGAGAGAGUUUAGAACAGCUUGGAUAUUUGGCUGUCAAGGGGGAGGCGGGAGGGAGGAAGAUGGACUGGGGUGAAUAGAUGCAAACUAUUACAUUUGGAAUGGAGAAACAACAAGGUCCUACCAUACAGCACAGGUAACUAUAUCUAAUCUCUUGGGAUAGAACAUAAUGGAAAACAAUUUUUUAAAAAUACUUUUAAAAAGGAUGUGUAUAUAAAUAUGUAUGACUGAAUCACUUUGCUGUACAGCAGAAAGUGGCACGACAUUGUAAAUCAACUACAUUUAAAAUUUUUUAAAACAUUUAAAAAGGAUGGCAGGGAGUUCCCCGCAUGGCUCAAUGGAAAUGAAUCCCACUAGCAACCAUGAAAUUGUGGGUUCAAUCCCUGGCCUCACUCUGUGGGUUAAGGAUCUGGCAUUGCCACGAGCUGUGGUGUAGGUCGCAGAGGCGGCUCAGAUCUGGUGUUGCUGCGGCCGUGGUGUAGGCCAACAGCUCUGUAGCUUUGGGAAUCUCCAUAUGCUGUGGGUGUGGCCCUAAAAAGCAAAAAUAAAAAUAAAAUAAAUAAAAAGAUUUAUUGGAUGUGGAAGAUUUUUAGAAAUCAUACUCAUCUUUUCAGCAGGAGUAUAAUUAAGUUAAAUACAAACCAAAAAUAACUAGAACACCAUUCUUACUUGUUCCAAACUAUCGAGCCUCCUGUUGUGGAAAGCUAGGGGAGGAACAGUAGCCAUGGAAAUUGUGUCAAAGAGAACCAAACACAGCUUCUCCCAAGCACUUCUUUUAUUCUGUCGUGACACCUAAUAUGGUCCUUUGUUCUACACGGCUGAUAUUGAAACAAGAGAUUCAUAAGUGAUAAGUAAAUAUGCUUCAUGAGGCAGGGUAGUGCCAAAAGAAGACAAAGUACAAAAACAUAUAUGGGAAAUGGAGUUGAAUGAGAGGAUAAACAAAGGAAGCAUUGUGCCAAAACCUUUCAUUCAUGCAUAUCAAGUAAACAGUGUUUAUGGUGAGCAGAACUUUCUAUGGCAGUAUCAGGUCACACAUCCAUUUGUCAUGCUUAAAAGGAAGGUAUGUAUUUCUGGUUUUAAGUGAUCAAUCCCCAAUACAAACUCUCCUAGCUUUUACUGAAAAUACACUAUAUGCAGACGAUGACAACAAUAUCAUCAACACAAACACAGAUACACACACAUCUAUGUGACUGUUAGGAUUUUCAUGCAAUGUGUCAUCAGAAUAAGGAAGGAAACUUUAAUGACAACAUCAAUUUAAAACAAUUGACGCAUUCAAAGAGUGAAUUACCCCUUCUACAAGGCCAGCAAGAUAAUUCACUAUCCAUGUACAAGUAAAUUCUUCAUCCACUCAAGAGCCAUGCUAAUCAAAACACUGGUCACAAGUUCCAGCUUAGCAGCAAUGAACCCGACUAGUACUCAUGAGGAUGUGGGUUCAAUCCCUGGCCUCGCUCAGUGGGUUAAGGAUCCUACAACGCAGAUAUCUGUGGUACAGGUAGCAGAUGUGGCUCAGAUCCCGCAUUGCUGUGGCUGUGGCAUAGACCAGCAGCAACAGCUCAGAUUCAACCCCUAGCCUGGGAACUUCCAUAUGCCAUUGGUGUGGCCCUAAAAAGCAAAUAAAUAAAUAUUUAAAAGAGCAGCAAUGCUGGUCAGCUGUGCUACUAUUGUCUGUGCUGUUUUUGAUAUUCCAGCAUUUUAGAUCCUCUCAUCUGUAUCUCCCACCAAUAUUUCCCAUCAGUACUUGCACUCAGAUAAGGAAUCCUGAUAGAUAUACUUUUGUACAGUUGAGUGCUACAGCUGAAAGUAGAGGCCAAAAGGUAAGAGAGUUGAAGAUUCACCUUCUCUACAGGCAUUAUACGUUCACAGUGAUGGAGAAUCAAAUCGCGAGGAUGGGAGAAGCUCUCCUAUAGGUACAGGAGAUCUCCACUGGAAAGGAAAAAACACACACACACAAACCAUACUGCCUCACGGUGGGAACUGGCUUGGAACCCCAGCCACUGGUUUAUCUUAUGGCUCAAUGUGACUGUUUUUUAAGUAACUAGAGAAUGGGAGUCAAAAGCAAUCUUUGUUUUCUGUCUAUCAACCAUGACAAAUGUAGAUAGAAUUCUACUUAUUUAAGGAUGUAUAUAGAACAGAGAGAAUAAAAUUAGGCCUGUAAAACAAAUACCAGCCGUAACAAAGGAAUAGAAGACCCUUCCUUUAGAAUCAGCAAUCAGUGUUAACUACUUAUUUAGGAAUAAAAGGUUCAAAUUAGUAACUACUCAUUGAGAAAUUAUUUAGGGAAAAAAAGCUGUAGAGUUUGACAUCUACAUUAGAAAGCAAGAAGACAUGAUGACUUUAAUGCAAUAUGAAUAGAAAGUUAUAUGGAAAUAACAAGCUGAAAUGAAAAUAUUGAAUUUAAAGGGAGAGGAGGAAAAUAAGGAAGCGUCAUAAAGAGAAAUAAUAAUACACUGUAUUGCAUUUAAAUUUGCAAAGGCAUCAAAGAAAAAGCUAAAUACAUAAAUCAUAGGAAUAACUUGAAAAGCUGUUACUAAAAGCAAAUAAUAAGGGCAGGGAAAGGAAAAAGCAAUGAGGUCAUGCUUCUGAGAAGCCUGAGAAGGCUGAGGAAUACGGACAUUUGGAGUAGAAGAAAUACUGAAAGAUAUAGCUGGGGAAAAAAAAAGAUCUAAAUUAGAAAAAUUUAAGGGAUCUAAAGCAGGAUCAUAAUGUUCCAGGUGAAAUCAGUAAAAAGAAGCAUUGCCUGACCAGGAUAAAAAAAGCACAUUAAAAAAAAAAUCCUACAAGUUCCAGGCAGACAACCAGGCUCCUUUCAAAAACAAAAUCUCAGACUCCUCUAUCCGAAAGGAAAGAGUGGAAAUGUGGCCAUAAUCCUUUGAGAAAAUGACUUGGGACAAAGGAAAUACUUGCAUAUUCAAAUUGUCUUUCAUUACUAAAAGAAUCAGAAACGGAUUCUCAAGCACAUAAAACCUUAAAAAACAUCACCAUAAACCUCUGUGUGAAACCAAAGAUAUAAAGCCAUUCCAGAUGACUUAGAGAUAAGACAAAUUUAAGAACUCAAAGAUACAGAAAGUUUUAGAAUGAUUAAGAAUAAUUAUCGUUAUUGAAGUUCCCAUCGUGGUGCAGUGGAAAUGAAUCUGACUAGGAACCAUGAGGUUGUGGGUUCGAUUCCUGGCCUAGCUCAGUGGGUUAAGGAUCCAGUGUUGCCAUGAGCUGUGGGGGAAGUUGCAGACGCGGCUUGGAUCUGGCGAUGCUGUGGCUGUGGCGUAGGCCAGCAGCUGCAGCUCUGAUUUGAUCCCUAGCCUGGGAUCCUCCAUGUGCCAUGCUUGCAGCCCUAAAAAUACAAAAAGAUGAAAAACAAAUAUAUCAUUAUUUUUAUGCACAAUAAUAGCAGUUAACACUUCCUGGGUGCUCAGUGUGUGCCCACUACUUGUCAUAAAUUAUCUCAUCUUUGCAAAUUACCUUUGAUAUAAACACUAUUAUCUCUCUCUACUUACAUUAAGCACACUGAGACUUAGAGGUAUUAAACAUUUUUCAUAUUUCAUUAAACAUUUGCUACAAGUUAUGAAUGUCUUGCUUGAAUCUAGACUGACAAUUUUAAUCAUUACACUAAAGCCUUCCCUUCCCAUGUUUGAACUGCCACACUAAGUCUACAUUAAUUAAUUGCAGCCUAGUGUCUGUCGAAACCUGGUUCAGCUUUCUUUUCUAUUUUCACUUCUUUGCUAGUCCCCAGCAAAGAGUUUUCCUAUGUUCCCAUCAUAUGCAUAGUUCACAAAUAUCUCUUGCCAUUUCCUUUAAAGAGGAAAGAAGAUGCUGUUUUUCUCCGGAACUUACUAACCUGUAUGAAUCGACAGGCACUAUUCUAAGCAGUUCACACAUACUAACUCAUUUACCCCCAUUUUAUCAAGGCAAACAUGAAGCACAGAGUAAAGCUUUUGUCCAAGGGCACUCAUCUUCCAAGUGGUGGAGGGUGGAUUUGAUCUGAACUCUAUGUAAUAUUGUUUUCAUUAAAAUGGUUGGGAUGCCACGAGAAUUUCUCUUAACAAAGUCGGAUUGUGUAGCGAAUUAUCAUUUUCGUUUCCAAGGAAAAUGAGAAAUUAUAUUUCAUCUUUUUAAAUCUUAUGUUGAAUGAUCUGAUUCUUUUUCUUCUGUUUAUCAAGAGAAACUAAUAAAUCAACCUAAGCAAAGAAAUAUCCUCUCCCAAUAAGUUGUAGUGUAUAUCUUCUUCCAUCAAAAAUAUCCCGCGAACUACCCUUCACAGUCAGAAUAUAAAAGAGGAUGUCAAUAUACACAGGAAAAAAAAA